UUUAAGUGUCCGGUUACCAAAAGCCGUACGCUUGUUACAUUAGCAUUAGCACUGUCUUAAAUAUUCUGCGAAAUAUAUUACUGUAGUACGUUUUAAACUUUCUUUUACAAAGUUUACCGUCAUGAAAAUGUAUUUUAUACUGCUUUCUUUCUACAUGAUGCUUACCUUAACUUCUGGGAAGCAAAUGUCGUAUUCAGCUUGCGGACGUAAAGAAAAAUUUGCUGCACUUCUGGACACUGCCAUUGACUCAAUCACGAAAAUUAAGGAAAAUAUCCCAACAUGUCAUGUAUCUCUCUUUAAACCUCUGGAUUGCGAAGAGCUUUUGAACCGCGGCUACAAUACCAGCGGAGUGUACAAAGUUUGGCCGAAGAGUAGAUUACUAGACAACAAGCCUCUAGAAGUGUUUUGUGAUAUGGUUACCGAUGGUGGUGGAUG